ACAGACAGUUUAGAAUUUGCAGUGAUCGAAUGGAAUGCGAAAUUCUGCGUUAUUGGAGCUUUAUCACAAACUUUUAAGCUAGACUGGCUGCCUAGGUAAAUGUCUUGAUUCAGUGUUUACAGAACUGUGUCUACGUCAACAGUAAGUCGGAAAUAGGGUGAUAAUUUCAUAUCAUAUUUUGCUGUUUAAACAGCUUCGACAGCAGGUCGUUAUGGGUUAUUAUGUGAUGUACAACGUGUAAGUGUGCGUGCCUCAAGCACUUGACCUCGCCAUCAAUGAUCGCAGAAGGUGGGUCGGUUAAAUUGGUGACCCAGAUGCAGUGGAAGCAAUCAGGAAGAGAAAGGAUUUGUCUCCGGAACAAAGCAAAUUUUUGAUGACGUGCCUAUUGGCGAAGUCAACCCGCCACGCCCACCACCCACUCAAAGAAAUUGGGGCAAUCAAGGCAUAUGUAGUGCCCAUAACACGGUUACCAAUCACUUAUCACCUUCCCGAGCUUCAGUUUUCAUUGGCAUGAAGUUCCUCGGCCAGCACUUGCACUUUGUAGUUGCCUCUUCUUCUUGCGCCCUUGAUUGGCGAUUUUGCUGCGGACUAUGAAUUAGCUUUUCCGCCUUUCGUUGUGAGGAAAGGGCGGAUGCAGCUGUAAAAACCACUGGUUGUACUCUUUGUUCUGGUCUUUUGUGAAAUCCUUGGCUGGAUUUUUCUCCGCGAACGAAAAUUAAACGAUUUUCGCACUUCCCUACGCUCUCUCCACUCCCAAAACUUCCUUCCGCACUAGUUUCUUUCUUACACGAUUUCAAGCGCUCCUCGCGUGCUCCGGAUGGAUGCGAACACGUCCUAUAUUGGCAGGCGGAUUCUUUGGACUUGGCGUCGUACGCUGCUAUGCACAAUUAACUUAAAUGCAAACUUUUUGCAUUUUCCGGAGAACAAAAAAUUUUGAGGCCACGUCAAUAGUGUGACCGUUGGUUUUAAAAAAGAGAUGACAGUGCUCUGGGUCGCCUAUCGAUUGCAAAUAAAAUGUUAUCGAUACCAAUGGUAACAUUAUUUUUGUAACAAUUCAAAUUUAAAACUUAACGCAAUGUUUAUUAAGUGAAGACAAGCAAUGUAUAUUAUAUAUAACUCUGUUAAUGAUAUGAGCUUAAAUGUUCGUAAGCCCGAAAUCCAAAAUCCAUUAAAACUGCUUAAAGAACAAAUCGCUUUAUUUGCAAUAUUU
ensembl:ncRNA asRNA:CR45467 antisense RNA:CR45467